rnacentral:lncRNA from 1 species
AACGAGUACCGUGGGAAAACAUAGGAUGCCAUCCAGAGAAGCUUUUAUUUAUUUGUUGGAAUUUAUAAAUUUUAAAGUUUAUUAGUUAUAAAAGGUAAAGAGAGCAAGUAGCAUCCAUGGAACUAGUUCUAGUAUUUUAACUGUGAAAGAUCAUCACAUUAAAAUUAAAGUGUUUCCCCAGUGAAGAAUACUUACACUUCAAUUCCCGUUCUAGCCCCAGAACUUUGUGAAGACAAACCUAUUUGGAGCUGGCGGAAGAGAAGAAUAUUUGUUCCAGAAGGAAUUUCCUGAGGAAUUACCCCAGUUUCUGAAGAAACCGUCCAGACUUUUCUCAUGAGGCUCCUCUGCUCGUCCACUGACGCUGCCACAUCUUCACAGAUCCAGAGUCUCUUCAGAACAAAAUUUCUGCAGCUUGGUGCCUUGGCCCCAGAAGAAAACGGAAGUUUGAAAACCAAGAAACAAACAAAACUAUUGUGGACUUCGCUAUGACCAACUUUUAUUGUGGUGAAUUUAAAAGGCCAGUUUUUGCCCCAUCUAUCAGCAAGAUUUCCCUGGAUUUCCCUGAGAUCUUCCUGCCCCUGACUUCCGUAUACUGAGGUUGCAGGCAACUUCAUCCGGACCAGUCAUAGAAUCUUGCUGCAAUUAGAGGUUAAUAUUUUUCAAAUUUUGCACCAGCCCGGCCCACGUAAUGAGUUUAGUGGCAGCCAAAGUGAGAGCCUAUGUAAACAAACAAACAAACCAUAGGAGAGGAGAGGAGAGGAGAGGAGAGGAGAGGAGAGGAGAGGGAGA